GACGAACGCUGGCGGCGUGCUUAACACAUGCAAGUCGAACGGAAAGGCCCUGCUUUUGUGGGGUGCUCGAGUGGCGAACGGGUGAGUAACACGUGAGUAACCUGCCCUUGACUUUGGGAUAACUUCAGGAAACUGGGGCUAAUACCGGAUAGGAGCUCCUGCUGCAUGGUGGGGGUUGGAAAGUUUCGGCGGUUGGGGAUGGACUCGCGGCUUAUCAGCUUGUUGGUGGGGUAGUGGCUUACCAAGGCUUUGACGGGUAGCCGGCCUGAGAGGGUGACCGGCGACAUUGGGACUGAGAUACGGCCCAGACUCCUACGGGAGGCAGUAGUGGGGAAUAUUGCACAAUGGGCGGAAGCCUGAUGCAGCAACGCCGCGUGCGGGAUGACGGCCUUCGGGUUGUAAACCGCUUUCGCCUGUGACGAAGCGUGAGUGACGGUAAUGGGUAAAGAAGCACCGGCUAACUACGUG
rnacentral:rRNA from 1 species